rnacentral:rRNA from 1 species
AGUGGCGAACGGGUGAGUAAUACAUCGGAACGUGUCCUGUAGUGGGGGAUAGCCCGGCGAAAGCCGGAUUAAUACCGCAUACGCUCUACGGAGGAAAGGGGGGGAUCUUAGGACCUCUCGCUACAGGGGCGGCCGAUGGCAGAUUAGCUAGUUGGUGGGGUAAAGGCCUACCAAGGCGACGAUCUGUAGCUGGUCUGAGAGGACGACCAGCCACACUGGGACUGAGACACGGCCCAGACUCCUACGGGAGGCAGCAGUGGGGAAUUUUGGACAAUGGGGGCAACCCUGAUCCAGCAAUGCCGCGUGUGUGAAGAAGGCCUUCGGGUUGUAAAGCACUUUUGUCCGGAAAGAAAUCCUUUGGGCCAAUACCCUGAGGGGAUGACGGUACCGGAAGAAUAAGCACCGGCUAACUACGUGCCAGCAGCCGCGGUAAUACGUAGGGUGCAAGCGUUAAUCGGAAGUACUGGGCGUAAAGCGUGCGCAGGCGGUUCGCUAAGACAGAUGUGAAAUCCCCAGGCUUAACCUGGGAACUGCAUUUGU